UACAUGGGGUGCAAACGUUGCUCGGAAUUAUUGGGCGUAAAGCGCACGUAGGCGGUUUGUUAAGUCGGAUGUGAAAUCCCUCGGCUCAACUGAGGAAGUGCAUCCGAAACUGGCAGGCUUGAGUACUAAAGAGGGAAGCGGAAUUUCCGGUGUAGCGGUGAAAUGCGUAGAUAUCGGAAGGAACACCAGUGGCGAAAGCGGCUUCCUGGUCCAGCACCGACGUUCAGGCACGAAAGCGUGGGGAGCAAACAGG
rnacentral:rRNA from 1 species